rnacentral:lncRNA from 1 species
AAAAAACAUGAAUACAAGACACCUACACUCUUGCGGAGACCUCAAGGGAAUCGAAACUCCCAAGCAACCACCAUUUCUAAGCAAGUUAACAACACAAGGAUUUCACAUUGCCACAAGGAUUCCACCUUUCCAAACACUCUAAAUGAGUUUACGAGAUAGAGCAUCAAAGUUUUAAAUGAAAAAAUGACCUAAAUGUUCUAUUUAUAGACUAGGGAAACACUUAUUACAAAAAUGACCAAAAGGCCUUUAUUGAGCCCAAACAAAGGGGCGGCCUUGUAGUGUACUCCUUGGACGCUUUUGGAGUGUUGGUACUUGUUCUCAACACUUCAAAUAUUGUUCCUUUGAUAGGCAUCCCCACAAGCUCAGGUCUUCACUUAUGUCUUCAUGUCCUCAAGUGCUAAGAUGCCUCUUUGACCCGUAUCAUCCUCCUUUUCUUAGAAAGGAUUCUUCCUCGAAUCUGAACCUUGCAAAAUAAUAGGAAGGACAAUCAAAGAAGUUCCUCAAGGUAUGAGGGUUAGGAUUAAUGUAAUCAAUCAUAGAAUCUUGCCAAGGUGGCUCAAACUUCACAUACAACCAAACAUCCAUCUUACCCGCAUACCCUCCCAAGAAAGAAUAAAUUGCGCAACCCACAUAAGUAUGAUAAGAAACAUGGAACAAGAGUUGCUUAUCAAGUGGAAAACAUAGACUCUUCUAUGAACAACAAAUAGGAUUGAAAGACAAGAUAGGAAAACCGUACAUUCCAUGCACAUUCAAGUUAUUCCAAAAGACACCAUCACCAUAUUUUAAAUGAUCACUGGGGUCAAAUGGGUGGAGUGUCCAUGGGAACGGGCUGGGACACACUUCCCAAUCCCAAUACUACUACAAUUAUGCUCAAAUGUUCCUUCUAUACUCGCAUGAUCUACAACAAAAACAACUAGAGGGUCAUCCUUAGUCAGUUGGCCAAUAUGUUCAACAUCACCAUUUUCACACACAAGUUGGUCUUCAUGACUUCCAUAAGACAAUGUACUAUCACUUGCCACAAUGGUUUCAACACUAGGUGGAUUAACUAGUGUAUCCAUAAUCUCAAGUUUUACAUUAUCAUCACGCAAUGAAGGCACAUUCGUCUCACCUAGGGCAAACUAUCAUUCAUACUUAGUUGGUUAUAAGCCUUAUUAACUAGAGGAAAAAAAUUAGUUUCAUUACCUAGUAACUCAUGCAGAGCUUGGCCACUCAUGGGAAUUUGAUUAGGAAAGCUUGAAUGCUCUAUCAAGUUAUCCGACUUCUUGCAAAUAGAGCUCUCCGUCUUUUGUAUUCAUCCUUCUAUUCUAUCCAUUAUUCUUUUCAUUCUUUCCAUUCGUCCUUUCAUUCUCUCCAUUUUCCGUUCAAAAGAUCCCAAGAGGCUAUCCAUGACAUCAAGCUUUGUCAUAAUGGAUUUAAACCAACUAAGCAUUUCACCUUCAUCUGCCAUUGUACCUAUCAAGAACUACUAAACAAACAACAUAAAAAUAGUAAACAUAUUAAAGGUUAGAAAAAAUUAGUCCGCAAUUCAUCUCAAAACAGUCCACAAUCUCUCAAGCUUACACUUUUGAAGUAUUCACUCUAUUGGCCUCACAGGUGUUGAUAACUCGCUUAUACUCCAAUGAGGUUACUUGGUCCCAAUUGUGGCUUGAGGUUGUGGCUCGAGGUAAAAAUAGAUUCUUGUUUGAAACAACUCAAGAAAUGAUAUUCAAACUUGGACCAAAGAAAAUACUAUGACUUAAAAAUGAGAAAAGCACACAAUAUAACGCUUAGCACGAAAGAAACCGUACUCAAAAACUAAUCUACAACCUAGUAGGUAUUUACUAGUUUUAUAAUUAGCAUAAGCAUCAAAUAAAUUGAAACUAAUGGAAAAAAGAAAGUGAAACUAGAAUAUCCAAUUUUCUUAAGCUCUUUGAUUAUAUGACACUUAACUAUUGGACAUUGGAAUAUGGUUGAAGUUGAAAAAUUUUUGUUUCAAGACACUAGUUGUUCAAUUUCAUGUAUGGAAGAGGAGAAUUUC